UAACGUAAUGAGGUUUAUCGUAUUCCUACUGCUGGCUCUACCUUUGGCGACUUGUAUGCAAAUUGGAAGAAACUGCGCUACUUUUUUUGCGACUCGCUGGACAAAAUGCAGCACGGCUGAAUGCCAAGAAGAAGCCGUCGAUGCCUAUAGAAGCGAGUAGUCAAAAUAACAUGAUUUGUUCAUAAUUAUAUUUAUUUUCCGCUUUUCAGCAUGUAAUCCAAACGGAGUGUGUUGGCGAUUAUUAGUACACGAUAAUGUAGAAAUAUUAACUUAGAUUUAAAUAUAAAACGGAUUAUAAAUGGAAGUACAACUUAGACAGUGAAAAUGAUUAUAGAUUAAUUGUCAAUUUUAAAUAUA